CCACCGUCUGCAAAAUUCAAUUUGAUUAGGGAUUCGAAGAUUUGAGCUCAGAUUUCUUCUUCUUGUUUCUUCAUCUUAAAAUUCAAUGGCGCCGCCUCCAGGUCCUUACUCCGGCACGAGCACUCUUGCUCUGGUUGCUCGUGCGUCGGCCUUCACUCUCGGUGUGGUUUACGGAAGCGUGAAGCACAAAGUUUUGAAGGCCAAGGCCAGGUCUCUUGCGAAAGCGAAAGCUCAAGCCAAGGCUCAUCAUUGACGUGCUAAAGGGGCUCGUUACAUAUUCUUGCCGGAAGAACGUUUUUCUGUCUAUGUUUUAGUCGGUGUUUAUUUUGCUGAUUCCACCUUUUGGGAGCUUUUAAAACAUUUGGUAUAAACCCAGCCUAUUGGGAGCUUCAAUCAAUUGCCUUUUCUAGAA